rnacentral:rRNA from 1 species
GAUCAUGGUUCAGGAUGAACGCUGGCGGCGCGCCUAACACAUGCAAGUCGAACGGCACCCACCCUCGGGUGGAAGCGAGUGGCGAACGGCUGAGUAACACGUGGAGAACCUGCCCCCUCCCCCCGGGGAUAGCCGCCCGAAAGGACGGGUAAUACCGGAUACCCCGGGGUGCCGCAUGGCACCCCGGCUAAAGCCCCGACGGGAGGGGAUGGCUCCGCGGCCCAUCAGGUAGACGGCGGGGUGACGGCCCACCGUGCCGACAACGGGUAGCCGGGUUGAGAG